rnacentral:rRNA from 1 species
UAGGGAAUCUUGCGCAAUGGGGGCAACCCUGACGCAGCAACGCCGCCUGUGGGAUGACGGCUUUCGGGUUGUAAACCACUUUCAGUGAUGACGAAAAUGACGGUAAUCACAGAAGAAGGUCCGGCCAACUACGUG